rnacentral:rRNA from 1 species
UACGUAGGGGGCUAGCGUUGUCCGGAUUUAUUGGGCGUAAAGAGCGCGUAGGCGGCCGAGUAAGUCCGACGUGAAAUCUGGAGGCUCAACCUCCAGCGGUCGUUGGAAACUACUCGGCUAGAGUCCGGAAGAGGAGAGUGGAAUUCCUGGUGUAGCGGUGAAAUGCGCAGAUAUCAGGAGGAACACCUAUGGCGAAGGCAGCUCGCUGGGACGUUACUGACGCUGAGACGCGAAAGCGUGGGGAGCAAACAGG